AACAAACGCUGGCGGCGUGCCUAACACAUGCAAGUCGAGCGGAGAUGAGGUGCUUGCACCUUAUCUUAGCGGCGGACGGGUGAGUAAUGCUUAGGAAUCUGCCUAUUAGUGGGGGACAACAUUCCGAAAGGAAUGCUAAUACCGCAUACGUCCUACGGGAGAAAGCAGGGGAUCUUCGGACCUUGCGCUAAUAGAUGAGCCUAAGUCGGAUUAGCUAGUUGGUGGGGUAAAGGCCUACCAAGGCGACGAUCUGUAGCGGGUCUGAGAGGAUGAUCCGCCACACUGGGACUGAGACACGGCCCAGACUCCUACGGGAGGCAGCAGUGGGGAAUAUUGGACAAUGGGGGGAACCCCGAACCAGCCAUGCCGCGUGUGUGAAGAAGGCCUUAUGGUUGUAAAGCACUUUAAGCGAGGAGGAGGCUACUGAGACUAAUACUCUUGGAUAGUGGACGUUACUCGCAGAAUAAGCACCGGCUAACUCUGUGCCAGCCGCCGCGGUAAGAC
rnacentral:rRNA from 1 species